rnacentral:rRNA from 1 species
CGGAACUGCCGGUCAUAAACCGGAGGAAGGUGGGAUGACGUCAAGUCAGCAUGGCCUUUAUAUCCUGGGCUACACACACGCUACAAUGGGAAGGGACAAUAGGUUGCGAAGCCGCGAGGCGGAGCCAAUCCAGCAAAACUUCCCUCAGUUCAGAUUGCAGGCUGCAACCCGCCUGCAUGAAGUUGGAGUUGCUAGUAAACGCAGGUCAGCCAUACUGCGUUGAAUACGUUCCCGGGGCUU